UACUCCUCCUGUAGUAACACUGCAGCAGUAAGGAAAUUCCUUACUGCUGCAGUGUUACUACAGGAGGAGUA
rnacentral:miRNA from 1 species